rnacentral:lncRNA from 1 species
CCCCGGGCUGGGGCCGGUUCGGCCUCCCGGGUGGCGCGCGGGCCGAAGAACUAGGAGGACCGCCGGGCCGGGCCGCUUGUCCUUUGGAAAAACCUUGGCGGUUCCUCCUCUGGUGUCCGUGGACCCCGCCGUGGCGUUCUCCAGGGCCGCGGACCUUUGCCCACCGGUCGCGCCAGCUGUCCUGGAGCAGAAAGGACCCCCCUCCUCCCGGACCGAGCCCCGAGCCCCGAGCCCCAUGGAGCAGGCAAGCGCCGGAGUCCCGAGGCUAAGGCCCGGCCGGCGGGCGCUCUGGCACCUUUUCCCGCCCCCGAGGGUGCCUGUCCGGCCCGGCCGGGACUGGCUGGGAAACCGAGGCCGGAAGAGGUCGCAGUCCAGCAAGGAAUCGGGGCAGCUCUUCCGUGGUUCCUUGCAGACCCCAGGUCAGGCCAGAAAACACCUCUAUGGCCCUUCCCUGUGUCCCACCACCAGAUAGGACCUCAAAGGCCUGGGGUCCCCAGGAUGGCCCUCAAACCGACUGGUGCCCUUGCAGGCUGCCACCCUCCAAGUCCUGCUUCUCUCUAGAGAUGGGCAGGAGCACCAGCCCUCACCUGGCACCAGCACUUUACUGGUGGAACAUAAUAUGGUCUAAGAAGAGAUUUUUCCAGCAAGAGGCCAUCUCUGCAAAUCACCUGUGAGGCAGACCUGUGGCAAUUUUAUGACUCAGCUGGCCACCGGGAUUGUAGCUGGGUUCUGCCGCUUGUUGAAACCUACUCAGUGUUCUCCUUCCCUAAGUAGGACAAGACCGUAUCCUGCCUUUAAGGUUUAUAGAAUAAAAACUGAAAACUC